CAUUAGGAAGCUAAACCAGGGACUAGCGUUAGCCUUUUAAGCUAAAGACUGGUGACUCCCCAUCACCUCUAAUGA
rnacentral:tRNA from 2 species